GCCCAACCAUUUUUAUACACAGCCCUGCUGUGUUUUUCCUUCUCUCCUGGCAUCGCUUUGUUUGUCUUCAUAAAUCUCUCUAUCUGUCUUCUUAUUUACUAUUUUGCCCCUUCUUUCUUUCCGCACUAGAUCCAUCGUCUCCAUUAAGGGUUUUAAUAUCACAAUCCUCUGCAAUCGUCUUCUCUGAUCCGAUUCUCUAUUUCACCAACCGAUCGUUUCCUUAUACACUGAACAGAAAUCGUUCAUUAUCGUUUCGUAAUAGUUAGUUUCCGUCGUGAAUUGUCAAUCCACUAAUCACUUGCAUUUCAUUUCGUUGACUUUGAAUCUUGACUUUCAGAGGAUUGAACCGGAGUAGAAGAAUUUAAUUUUAGGAUUUAGGUGCCCCCCCACCCCUUGCUUUUUCCUUUUUAAUAAUUUGGGGGAUUUAGGUGUAGAAAUGUUGGGGGCUGGAUUGCAGUUUACUACGAGAGGUCGUGGGGAGAAUCGGUUUUACCACUCGGCGAAGGCUUGGAGGGUAAACCAGAAUCAACAUAAUGAUCAACUGCGCAGAGCGCAGAGCGAUGUUACCGCUACUCAAUCGCCUUCGGUCAAGGAAAAAGUGGAAAAACCGGCGAACAGGGAACCCGAGAACCGGACUGCUUUGGAGGAAUCUCCCAAACCGGUUUCAGUUCCGGCCUUAGAACCUGUCGUUUCUCCGUUGAGUAAUUUAGAGCGGUUUUUGGAGUCUAUAACUCCAUCUGUGCCUGCUCAGUACUUAUCUAAGGUUUGUUAGCUUUUGAUUGCCUCCUCUCCUCUGCUGCUUCUUCUUCUCCUGGGAAAACUUAUGGCGUACUAGUUGGCCAGAAACUGAGGAAAAUAACACCGAAGAUAUAGUAUUAUUUACAUUUUCGUAUUGAUUUCCCUUCUGUUUUCCUUGAUGACUGAAUGGAGUUAUAUAACAUUUUACUGGAAGUUUUAAGUGAUGUCUUUGUACUUGAUGAGCCAAGUUUGACUUAAUUGUUUUGAUAUUAUUUAGUGAAAUAUAUGAAAUUCAUAAAAAAAAAUUCACUUUCAUUAAUUCAUUUUCUCCUUGUUUGUCUAUAAGAGCAACAAAAUUUCACUUAGUUUGUGUGAAAAACUAACUGUAAUAAGUUUGGUGGGCAGACCACAAUGCGGGGCCGCAGGACUUGUGAUGUGGAAUUUCAGCCAUACUUUGUACUCGGGGAUUUGUGGGAGUCUUUUAAGGAAUGGAGUGCUUACGGUGCAGGAGUGCCGGUAAUUUUGAAUGACAGCGAUUCUGUUGUUCAGUAUUAUGUCCCAUAUCUGUCCGGGAUUCAAAUAUAUGGAGACUCUACGAAGAAGUGUGUGAAAUCCAGGAGACUGGGCGAGGACAGUGACAGUGAUUUCAGGGAUUCAAGUAGUGAUGGUAGCUUUGAUAGUGAACCUGAAAGAGGACUGAAGGGCUCAAGGGAACAAUGGAAUCAUUAUCAUUUACUAAAUGAUGUUCCUCUUAGAAUGGAUAGAAUGUCUUUGAGAGAUCAACUUAUUGCCCACCAAGAGGACUUUUCUAGCGAUGAAGGUGAAUCUAUGAAAUCCCAAGGUUGCUUGCUAUUUGAGUUUUUUGAGCGAGAUCCCCCUUACAGCAGGGAACCAUUAGCUGACAAGAUAUCAGAUCUUACCUUGCAUUUCCCUGAAUUGAAGUCACUAAGAAGUUGUGAUUUGCUAUCAUCUAGCUGGAUUUCAGUGGCAUGGUAUUCGUCAUUUUAGUGUUGCAUUUGCUGCUAAUAUUAUAUUCUCAUGCAUGAAUUAUGGGUCUGGUGGAAAUUUGUAGGUAUCCCAUUUACAGGAUACCAACUGGACCAACAUUGAAAGACCUGGAUGCUUGCUUUCUGACAUACCAUUCUCUUCAUACAUCAUUGGGAGGUAAUGAAUACAUUGGCAUGGAUUUUGUUUAGGUGCCAGUAUGCAUUUUUGUUACCCUGUGGGAUGAUAACAAUUUUACGUCUCUUAAUUUCUGCAGUAGCCUUCCUGUCAUUAUUUUAAGUUAUUUGCGUGUUAGUUACAGAAUACAGGACUAUUCUAGUUAGAAAUGAUUCCUCUUCUACAACUUUAUAAAUUUCCCUUUCCUGUAAAUUUCACACUUGCAAAAACAGUUACCAUUUAGGAUUGGUGUUUAGAAGCUUUGACUUCCACCAUAGUCAACUCAAUUCACUCUCAAGUUAAACUAGUUGGGGUUAGCUACACUGAUUACUUGUCUCACAUUCUAUUUAGGGCCAAUCUCUUUGUGAGUUCUUGUGACACUAAACUAUAUCAUGUUGGUUCACAUUGUUGUACGCUCCUAUGUAAAAUAAUUUCACUUAACAAACAAGAAAAGUUAUUCUGCAGUUUCCUACUAGUGGACCUGAAUUAUAGCCAGAUGAUUAAAAUUAAUUGCUUAAUGUGUUUAUGUCAAAUAAAGUCAAUUAUCCUUCAGCUGAUUUUGUAAAACUUAUCAUGCUAGCUUUCUUGGCAGGUGCACAAACUGCUCAGGCCCCGGUGGUGACAUACCCCAGUGAGAUGGAUGGUGUGCCUAAGAUGUGCUUGCCUGUUUUUGGUCUUGCAUCAUACAAGUUCAAGGGAUCCUUGUGGACCCCUAAUGGGGGAUGUGAGCGCAAAUUGGCAAGUUCUCUCUUGCAGGCUGCUGACAAUUGGUUGAGAUUGGUUCAGGUCAGUCAUCCAGAUUUCCUGUUUUUCUGCCGCAGAUGAUAGAAAGAUAUGAUGGUUACAACACUCCUCCAACCAUUCUAGAAUCUAUAAGCCCAAUGCUCUUGGUACAUGCUUGAGUUGUGUGAGAUAAAAUCCUUAAUUUGUGGAGAUCAAGAUGACAGGUCAUCUGCAAUAUUAUUGAUUUAUAUCCUUUACAAUAAGUUUAUAUGGGAGAAGUUGGGAAAAAAAAGACACUCCUAAGAAGGCUUUGGAAUGGAAGGAGUGGCAGUGCAACAAGGCUCAAGCAAAAAUGAAUAGAGGGAACAUAGAGUUCGGAUAAGCUGCUGCACCUUGAACAGAACCAAGGUGAAAUUGUGUUUUGGUAUACUGUCAAUGAAAGCAAGUUUCAUCUUGCUUGUUCUUCUCAAUAUUUAUAUAUAAACCAGGCACUUUUUUUAGUCCUGCUGAUCAGUACUUAGCAUGUAAUAUUUUGUUUUUAACUUCUAUAAGGGGAUUUUGAUAGGUUGUAUUGUCAUAUUUAAGCCUGCCCCAGAUAUGUAUUUUAACACUUUUAACUUUUAUUUUUAUCUGGUUAGUAAUGUGUUGGAAAUGGUUAGUAUUUUCAUGGGUUGUAGUAUUGUUUAUUCUGAGCAGUCAAAUUUUGAAGAUGG
rnacentral:misc_RNA from 1 species